UGCUCUGGGGGUGUCUCAGGGUCAUGUAGUUGCAGUCCCAUUAUCUGAAUGACUUGGUGUGUUUUGCCUGGGAAGUUAUAGGAAGAUAGGAGACUUGGGCCAAGAAUGUUCCCAGAACAGGCAACGACCAGAAGCAGCUUGGCAAAGGAGAAUUGUUCCAGCUUGUGUCCACAGGCCUGAACUUGAACUCCAGCUGUGCCACUCAGUGACCAGAUAUUUGAGGAGAACCAGACAUGAAAACACGUGUUUUAGAAAACAGUUCGACAAGAAGAAGAAAACUUCGAACAGAAAAGACACUGCCAGUAACAUGAUCGUGCAGAAAAAUCACAACGAGGCCCCUGGAAAAAAGGACAGCGCUGAGAGACACCGCUGAGUCACAAAGCAAAAGUAGCUGGGAACGAUUUGCUCUAUGGAUCAGCUAUGACUAGAAUUGUAACACCCACGUUGUCCAGCUGGCAUGGUGGCCUAGCUCCACUUCUGGGGGCACAUUUGACAUAUGCAGUGGACACACGUGCUAUCUCAAACAGAAAAAGUACAGAUAACAUUCUUUGCCGAGUUCUACAGGGCGGCGCCUCCAGGUAAUGUCUGUCCCUCCUGAAGUGACUCUUUCCAGAACAAAUCGUACAGUUUUGGUCCUCCCCAGAGUCUAAGCUCCACAAAGUCCAGCCCCGAGUUGUCUUGCCAUUCCUUCCAUUUCUAGAACCUGGUCCACAUCCGUUCUUCCAUGGGACAGUGUUUGCUGGUUGACCAGCGUGCACCAGGUGCUGUUAGCCCCAGGAGCAAGCGGUGUUCAGGGAGAAGCCAGACUUCCGUGGCUCCUGUAAUCACAGAAGUCACAAAAGAGGUCCUCUGCAAUUAUUCAUGGGAAAGAAGAAAUAAAUGAAUCGCCCCUGCGGAGCCCUUCACGGUGACUUUCAUAGUUCUCCCCGUCCAGAAAUCUAAAGCACUGGCUUCCAGCCUGCAGAGUUAAGUUCCAAACCCAUAGCCUGGGACACAGGCUGUGCUGGCUAAUUUUGCAUCAACCUGACACAAGCCGGAGUCAUUUGGGAAAGGGAACUUCAACUGAGAA